AGCAAAGCACCAGGGGCAUCAAUAUACAAUAGGUACCCUUCAGUACAGGUGGAGAAUGACCUUGAUAAGCAUUCACCCUGGGCAGGAUCUCAUGUAUUAAAUGCAAGACAACCAUAACCUGUUGAAAAUCUGUGAAUGGGGAUUCACAGGGCCAAGCCUGGAGUUCACACAUUCUCCUUGCUGAGGUACCAGUCACCAGCACUUUCUGUGCUACCACCAUGGAAGCUCCUGCUAGAGGUUCAAAUAAUGGUUCAAUCAGAGCCCGUGAGACCACUGGUACGGCACAUAUUGGCUUCACCACCUUUAGUGGAGGCUUGAGAUCAAUCAAUGGUUACAAGAAGCAAAGCAUCAGGGGCUCCAAUGUUCAAUGGGCACCUAUCUAUGUGGGAAGUGCAGAUAUGGGCUCCUCUAGAGUGUUAUAACUCAGACCCUUU